rnacentral:rRNA from 1 species
AUGGAAGAAAGAGUCUUUACACUGCAGGCUCACUCCCUUUUGAGUCUGAGGAGUUUUCUGUUACACUGGUUGCUCCGGAAAAGAAAGACAAAGAAAAGGCUGAAAGAGAGUACAAGAUCACCAUUCGGAUUGCUGGGAGGACAGACCUGUACCACCUCCAACAGUUUCUCAAAGGAAGACAGAGGGAUAUGCCUCAAGAAACCAUCCUGGAACUAUGUCACAGUGUCCAGAUCCUUAUUCACCACCACCUUUGGUCACAGAGGAGACAUUGGUGAAGGAUUAGAGUGCUGGAGAGGUUACCACCAGAGCUUACGUCCAACCCAGAUGGGGCUGUCACUCAAUAUAGACAUAUCUGCAACAUCCUUCUUCAAGUCUGUGACAGUGGUCCAGUUUGUGCUAGAGUUCCUCAACUUACGUGAUGCCUCGCGGCCUCUGACAGACAGGGACCGUGUUAAGAUAAAGAAAGCACUCCGUGGGGUGCGUGUCGAAACAAACCACCAGGAAGACCAAAUCAGAAGAUACAAGAUAACAGGGAUUACUCCUGUUCCUAUGAGCCAGCUCAUAUUUCCUGUUGAUGAGAGAGGAACAAGAAUGUCAGUUGUUCAGUACUUCAUGCAAAGAUACAACUACAAUCUGCAGUAUACUUCUUGGCUCUGCUUGCAGUCUGGAAGUGAUGCGUGGCCUGUGUAUCUGCCUAUGGAGGCGUGCAAGAUUGUUGAAGGGCAAAGGUACUCUAAGAAACUGAAUGACAAGCAGGUCACCAACAUACUUAGAACUACCUGUCAACGUCCCCAGCAGAGGGAGCAAAGCAUUCGUGAGAUGGUUCUGCACAACAAGUAUGCUGAGGACAAGUUUGCUCAAGAGUUUGAAAUCAAUGUCUGCAGUGACCUGGUCUCUGUUCCAGCCCGUGUGCUGCCUCCCCCCAUGUUGAGAUAUCAUGAUUCUGGAAAGGAGAAAACUUGUGCGCCAAGUGUUGGACAGUGGAACAUGAUUAACAAGAAAAUGAUCAAUGGAGGAAUCAUAGACAACUGGGCCUGUGUGAGUUUUUCACGCAUACCUCCUGAGGAGGUACACAGGUUCUGUUGUGAUCUGAUUCAGAUGUGCAAUAUGACUGGAAUGUCUGUCAAUCCAAGGCCACUUGUAGACAACCGAUCAGCUAGCCCCAACCACAUCGAGAAUGCCUUGAGGGAUGUAUACAGGAGGACUACCGAAAUGCUUGGAAAACAGGGAAACGAAAAACAGCUACAACUGUUAAUCGUAAUCCUACCUGAAGUCAGUGGUUCUUAUGGGAAAAUCAAGAAGGUUUGUGAGACUGACCUUGGGAUCGUGUCUCAGUGCUGCCUGCCAAGGCAUGCUGCCAGACCAAACAAGCAAUAUUUGGAGAAUGUUGCACUCAAAAUCAAUGUGAAGGUCGGAGGACGCAACACAGUUCUGGAGAGAGCUUUUGUGCGAAAUGGCAUACCGUUUGUGUCCGAAGUCCCAACAAUCAUCUUUGGUGCUGAUGUUACACACCCCCCACCUGGAGAGGACUCUGCAUCAUCAAUUGCUGCGGUGGUGGCAUCAAUGGACUGGCCAGAGAUCACCAAGUACAGCGGUCUUGUCUCUGCUCAACCACACAGGGAGUUACUGAUUGCCUCCCGCUGGAACACAGGCCGGAGGCCUGAGAGGAUACUCUUCUACAGGGAUGGCGUAAGUGAAGGCCAAUUCAGCCAUGUUCUGCUUCAUGAAAUGGACGCAAUCAGGAAGGCCUGUGCCUCUUUGGAGGAGGGGUAUAUGCCCCCAGUCACCUUUGUGAUUGUCAGGCAUCACGCCAGGCUGGAUAUCCCUGAGGUUCCUGGGAGGUGUGAUAUGACUGACAAGAGUGGGGACAUACUUCUUGGAACGUUGGCUGAUAAAUCAGAAUUUGAUUUCUACUUGUGCAACAAUGCUGGCACUCAGGGAACCAGCAGUUCAACACAUUACCAUGUUCUUUAUGAUGAGAAUCACUUCACAGCCGAUGCGCUUAAGUCGCUGACCAACGAUCUCUGCUACACCUCUACCUGCCGCACUCGCGCAGUCUCUGUUGUCACACCGGCGUACUAUGCCCACCUGAAGGGUAUAAUUCGUGCGCGCUACUACGUGGAAGGGGACAGCUUAAAUGCUGGAUUGAACCCCAGGAUUAGCGGUCAGUCGCUUCCAAAGAUUUUACUGUUGGGAGGAUGCAGAAGGAGGCAGGUACGCAGAGAGCCAUCUCCCAUACCCCCUGAGCUAAGGGUCCCAUUGACGACUCAGGCGAAUCUUUGGGGCCAUGUUCAGAAACAUUACACUUUUCCUGAUGUGUGGGUAUUUAAUCAUCAUGAGAUUGAGGGCCAAGAAGAAGACGUUAACUUAAUAGAUGAUGCUGGAUGUAUAAUGGCGCUUGCGUUGACUCGCACUUUCGUCGACGCUCAGGAUACACAACAAUCUUGGAAUGGCAAGAUCUCAAUGACAGAUUUUAUGAUCAUCAAUGGGAUUCCUGUCCUCCGGACGCCGCCACCAUUUAAGGGUAAUGAUGAGAUGUACAUAAAGGACAAAUGUGCACUAAAAAGAAUCCUGAGGCUGAUCUUCCUCCGGUACGGAGGAGAGUUCCAAUACAUGGAACGGUUCCUUAAUUUGUUAAAUGACCCUGUUCGUGUACUCCAGCGUUGGGCAAGAGAAUAUAUAAAGAACCCCAUGGUUUUUAAGACCACCGAUCAAAAAGGGAAAACUGUCAUAGGCAUUUUUAAAAUGUAUAAUGGAUUGUCAGAUGACAGGAAGGCUAGAUUCCGUACUCUUGUUCACCAGGUUCGUUGCCCUUUUUGGCCAGCUGCAAAGAAUAAUUAUCAUCUUUUACCUAUCGUGCUGUUCCGUUGGAAUGUUUUUGGGAAAGAAUACACGGACAAUUCUUGGGGGUGCUUCCAGUGCCUUACAAAUUACGAGGUCCAUGGAAAAACUAUUCUUGGAGAUUUCGUUCCAGAUGUUAUAGAGAGAGUCCUAAGAUCUGGGGAGUUCCCUGAGAUGAUUGACGCUAUUCAGCAGUAA